UCAAUUUUCGCCUUUUUGUUCCCGCCUACUCUAUCGUUCUUCACUUCUUCCUUCUCCGAUCCAUGGCCAAAUUCGAAUCAUGAUUUGUGAAGAUUUUAUUCGUCCUGUUGUAUUGUUUUUGUUUCUCUGAACAAGUUUUGUGAAGCUUUUCAUUCGCUUUGGUUUAUCUGUUCAAAUCGUGGUCAUCUGCAUUUUGAACCUUGGCAAAGAGAACGGAGGCAAUGUUGAGCGAGUAUCAUAUCUUCGUCAAUUCCAUUGGUGGCGGACAAUUUUGACUAUAUGUAAUGGAAAGAUCAGACGAUCGAAUAAUUAGGGAUUAAGUGCGUUGAUGUUUAGCGGAUGAACAAAAUUCUGCACGAAGCAAAUUAAUAGGUCUCACUUUUCGCUGGAAUUUGAACGUUUGAGGUUUCUGCGGGAACAGUUGCGCUUCAUGAACUGGCUGUCUGAUCCUCCACUGAUCGCAGUUUAUGUUGGAUAACUCCGAGUUUUGCUUUCCGCUAUUAUUCCUCUGCUCAACCGGAGAGGAAAGCUCUCGUCAAAUAUGAUCAGGUUUGGUCCUGCUGGGGUACUUUAAUGGAGGGGACCUUAUGAGCUAUAGGAAUCGAGCAUGCGGUGUCAGGUGUGUUGGUUGAAAUUUGGAGUCGCACGUUGUACCAAUCAGUAUGUUUUCUCAAUGGUGCUGUUUAGGUAAGCCUUCCUUGUCUCCUUUCCCUUGUCAUUAUCACGUCUUCUUUCCUUCCUAUUUAUUCGUAUAUAUA